CCUACGGGUGGCAGCAGUGAGGAAUAUUGGUCAAUGGGCGGAAGCCUGAACCAGCCAAGUAGCGUGCAGGAUGACGGCCCUACGGGUUGUAAACUGCUUUUAUAUGGGAAUAAAAUGUUCCACGUGUGGGAUUUUGUAUGUACCAUAUGAAUAAGGAUCGGCUAACUCCGUGCCAGCAGCCGCGGUAAUACGGAGGAUCCGAGCGUUAUCCGGAUUUAUUGGGUUUAAAGGGAGCGUAGGUGGAUUGUUAAGUCAGUUGUGAAAGUUUGCGGCUCAACCGUAAAAUUGCAGUUGAAACUGGCAGUCUUGAGUACAGUAGAGGUGGGCGGAAUGCGUGGUGUAGCGGUGAAAUGCUUAGAUAUCACGAAGAACUCCGAUUGCGAAGGCAGCUCACUGGACUGCAACUGACACUGAGGCUCGAAAGUGUGGGUAUCAAACAGGAUUAGAUACCCGAGUAGUC
rnacentral:rRNA from 1 species